CGUAGGGUGCGAGCGUUAAUCGGAAUUACUGGGCGUAAAGUGUGCGCAGGCGGCAGAGCAAGUCGAGUGUGAAAGCCCCGGGCUUAACUUGGGAAUUGCGCUCGAAACUACUUUGCUGGAGUGUGGCAGAGGAAGGUGGAAUUCCACGUGUAGCGGUGAAAUGCGUAGAGAUGUGGAGGAACACCAAUGGCGAAGGCAGCCUUCUGGGCCAACACUGACGCUCAUGCACGAAAGCGUGGGGAGCAAACAGGAUUAGAUACCCUGGUAGUCCACGCCCUAAACGAUGACGACUAGUUGUUGGAGGAGUUAAAUCCUUUAGUAACGCAGCUAACGCGCGAAGUCGUCGCCUGGGGAGUACGGUCGCAAGAUUA
rnacentral:rRNA from 1 species